CGAUGAUGCAUAGCCCGAGUUGAGAGACUGAUCGGGCCACAUUGGGGACUGAGACACGGGCCCAAACUCCUACGGGAGGCAGCAGUAGGGGAAAUCUUCCACAAUGGACGCAAGUCUGAUGGAGCAAACGCCGCGUGAGUGAAGAAGGGUUUCGGCUCGUAAAAAGCUCUGUUGUUGGUGAAGAAGGACAGGGGUAGUAACUGACCCUUUGUUUGACGGUAAUCAAUUAGAAAGUCACGGGCUAACUACGUGCCAGCAGCCGCGGUAAAU
rnacentral:rRNA from 1 species